CAAGGAGCUUGAGAGAACUCGGGUGAAGGAACUAGGCAAAAUGGUGCCGUAACUUCGGGAGAAGGCACGCUGAUAUGUAGGUGAAGCGACUUGCUCGUGGAGCUGAAAUCAGUCGAAGAUACCAGCUGGCUGCAACUGUUUAUUAAAAACACAGCACUGUGCAAACACGAAAGUGGACGUAUACGGUGUGACGCCUGCCCGGUGCCGGAAGGUUAAUUGAUGGGGUUAGCGGCAACGCGAAGCUCUUGAUCGAAGCCCCGGUAAACGGCGGCCGUAACUAUAACGGUCCUAAGGUAGCGAAAUUCCUUGUCGGGUAAGUUCCGACCUGCACGAAUGGCGUAAUGAUGGCCAGGCUGUCUCCACCCGAGACUCAGUGAAAUUGAACUCGCUGUGAAGAUGCAGUGUACCCGCGGCAAGACGGAAAGACCCCGUGAACCUUUACUAUAGCUUGACACUGAACAUUGAGCCUUGAUGUGUAGGAUAGGUGGGAGGCUUUGAAGUGUGGACGCCAGUCUGCAUGGAGCCGACCUUGAAAUACCACCCUUUAAUGUUUGAUGUUCUAACGUUGGCCCGUAAUCCGGGUUGCGGACAGUGUCUGGUGGGUAGUUUGACUGGGGCGGUCUCCUCCUAAAGAGUAACGGAGGAGCACGAAGGUUGGCUAAUCCUGGUCGGACAUCAGGAGGUUAGUGCAAUGGCAUAAGCCAGCUUGACUGCGAGCGUGACGGCGCGAGCAGGUGCGAAAGCAGGUCAUAGUGAUCCGGUGGUUCUGAAUGGAAGGGCCAUCGCUCAACGGAUAAAAGGUACUCCGGGGAUAACAGGCUGAUACCGCCCAAGAGUUCAUAUCGACGGCGGUGUUUGGCACCUCGAUGUCGGCUCAUCACAUCCUGGGGCUGAAGUAGGUCCCAAGGGUAUGGCUGUUCGCCAUUUAAAGUGGUACGCGAGCUGGGUUUAGAACGUCGUGAGACAGUUCGGUCCCUAUCUGCCGUGGGCGCUGGAGAACUGAGGGGGGCUGCUCCUAGUACGAGAGGACCGGAGUGGACGCAUCACUGGUGUUCGGGUUGUCAUGCCAAUGGCACUGCCCGGUAGCUAAAUGCGGAAGAGAUAAGUGCUGAAAGCAUCUAAGCACGAAACUUGCCCCGAGAUGAGUUCUCCCUGAGACUUAGAGUCUCCUGAAGGAACGUUGAAGACGACGACGUUGAUAGGCCGGGUGUGUAAGCGCAGCGAUGCGUUGAGCUAACCGGUACUAAUGAACCGUGAGGCUUAACCUU
rnacentral:rRNA from 1 species